GGGGAUCAGUGAGUAUCUAGGUUCGGCUCUACUCUCCCCCCUUUGGGAACGUCCCGCUGUUGCUUUGGCGGCUCCCGGCGCCACUGACGUGCGAUCUCCAGUCAAAACACUCUCACAUGUGAUUAACACGUUAAUAAACUAAAACUUUGAACAACGGAUCUCAUUGGUUCCGGCAUCGAUUAACAACACCGCAUCUCUUGGC
rnacentral:rRNA from 1 species